rnacentral:rRNA from 1 species
AACGAACGCUGGCGGCAGGCUUAACACAUGCAAGUCGAACGGGUGUAGCAAUACAUCAGUGGCAGACGGGUGAGUAACACGUGGGAACCUUCCUAGGGGUACGGAACAACUCAGGGAAACUUGAGCUAAUACCGUAUACGUCCGUGAGGAGAAAGAUUUAUCGCCCUUAGACGGGCCCGCGUCGGAUUAGGUAGUUGGUGGGGUAACGGCCUACCAAGCCUACGAUCCGUAGCUGAUCUGAGAGGAUGAUCAGCCACACUGGGACUGAGACACGGCCCAGACUCUUACGGGAGGCAGCAGUGGGGAAUCUUGGACAAUGGGCGAAAGCCUGAUCCAGCCAUGCCGCGUGAGUGAAGAAGGCCUUAGGGUUGUAAAGCUCUUUUGCCAGGGACGAUAAUGACGGUACCUGGAGAAUAAGCCCCGGCAAACUUCGUGCCAGCAGCCGCAGUAAAAC